AGUCUGACGGAGCAACGCCGCGUGAGUGAUGAAGGAUUUCGGUUCGUAAAGCUCUGUUGUUAGGGAAGAACAAGUGCCGUUCGAAUAGGGCGGCACCUUGACGGUACCUAACCAGAAAGCCACGGCUAACUACGUGCCAGCAGCCGCGGUAAUACGUAGGUGGCAAGCGUUGUCCGGAAUUAUUGGGCGUAAAGCGCGCGCAGGCGGUCUUUUAAGUCUGAUGUGAAAGCCCACGGCUCAACCGUGGAGGGUCAUUGGAAACUGGGAGACUUGAGUACAGAAGAGGAGAGUGGAAUUCCACGUGUAGCGGUGAAAUGCGUAGAUAUGUGGAGGAACACCAGUGGCGAAGGCGACUCUCUGGUCUGUAACUGACGCUGAGGCGCGAAAGCGUGGGGAGCAAACAGGAUUAGAUACCCUGGUAGUCCACGCCGUAAACGAUGAGUGCUAGGUGUUAGGGGUUUCGAUGCCCUUAGUGCCGAAGUUAACACAUUAAGCACUCCGCCUGGGGAGUACGACCGCAAGGUUGAAACUCAAAGGAAUUGACGGGGGCCCGCACAAGCAGUGGAGCAUGUGGUUUAAUUCGAAGCAACGCGAAGAACCUUACCAGGUCUUGACAUCCUUUGACCACCCUAGAGAUAGGGCUUUCCCCUUCGGGGGACAAAGUGACAGGUGGUGCAUGGUUGUCGUCAGCUCGUGUCGUGAGAUGUUGGGUUAAGUCCCGCAACGAGCGCAACCCUUGAUCUUAGUUGCCAGCAUUCAGUUGGGCACUCUAAGGUGACUGCCGGUGACAAACCGGAGGAAGGUGGGGACGACGUCAAAUCAUCAUGCCCCUUAUGACCUGGGCUACACACGUGCUACAAUGGAUGGUACAAAGAGCAGCAAACCCGCGAGGUCGAGCCA
rnacentral:rRNA from 1 species